rnacentral:rRNA from 1 species
GGCCAUCGCUCAACGGAUAAAAGCUACCCUGGGGAUAACAGGCUUAUCUCCCCCAAGAGUCCACAUCGACGGGGAGGUUUGGCACCUCGAUGUCGGCUCAUCACAUCCUGGGGCUGUAGUAGGUCCCAAGGGUUGGGCUGUUCGCCCAUUAAAGUGGUACGCGAGCUGGGUUCAGAACGUCGUGAGACAGUUCGGUCCCUAUCCGUCGCAGGCGUAGGAAAUUUGAGAAGACCUGUCCUUAGUACGAGAGGACCGGGAUGGACGUACCUCUGGUGUACCAGUUGUUCUGCCAAGGGCAUGGCUGGGUAGCUAUGUACGGAAUGGAUAAGCGCUGAAAGCAUCUAAGCGCGAAGCCAACUUCAAGAUAAGAUUUCCCACCGCAAGGGUAAGACCCCAGAAAGACUAUCUGGUUGAUAGGUCGAAGGUGUAAGUGCAGCAAUGUAUUUAGCUUAUCGAUACUAAUAGGUCGAGGACUUGACCAAU